GAGGGUAUAGCUCAAGUGGUAGAGUGCAUGCUUAGCAUGCAUGAGGUUCUGGGUUCAAUCCCCAGUACCUUCU
rnacentral:tRNA from 1 species